AGUUGGAAGUAGGGGUCUUGACAUUAGAUGUUGAUUUCAAAAUGUGUCAGAUCUAACUCUUCCAGCUCA
rnacentral:pre_miRNA from 1 species